rnacentral:lncRNA from 1 species
UUUAACACACCUCAAACUAAACCUUUUAUUCUCCAUAAUCAUUCAAUUUUUUCCAACAACUUAAACCUAUCAACCUUUAGGAUUAAUAGAACUUUUAGUUACUAAGAGAUGUCGCUGAUAUAGUCUUUUCGAAUGACAGAGGCUUGACUUUGGGUAUGUAGGCCAAAGUUUGAGGGGGAGAUGCAUAGGAAUGGGCUGGGAGAUAUAUGAGCCUGAAGCUCUUCUGUUACUUAUUUUACCUCACGUUUUAUUCAUGUGGGCAUGUAAUAGUUUCUUUUUUCAAAAUAAUGAUUUGG